UGGCUGUCGGAGUGUAGAAUUCUCCAGCA
rnacentral:piRNA from 1 species